rnacentral:rRNA from 1 species
AACGAACGCUGGCGGCAUGCCUAACACAUGCAAGUCGAACGAGCCGUUCGGGUCUUUUGGCGCACGGCUGUGUAACGCGUGGGAACCUGCCCUUAGGUUCGGAAUAACUCCCCGAAUGGGGUGCUAAUACCGGAUAAUGUCUUCGGACCAAAGAUUUAUUGCAUUUGGAGGGGCCAGCGUUGGAUUAGCUAGUUGGUAGGGUAAAAGCUUACCAAGGCGACGAUCCAUAGCUGGUCUGAGAGGAUGAUUAGCGACACUGGGACUGAGACACGGCCCAGACUCCUACGGGAGGCAGCAGAGGGGAAUAUUGGACAGUGGGCGAAAGCCUGAUCCAGCAAUGCCGCGUGAGUGAUGAAGGCCGUAGGGUUGUAAAGCUCUUUUACCCGUGAUGAUAAUGACAGUACCGGGAGAAUAAGCUCCGGCUAACUCCGUG